AUUGAACGCUGGCGGCAUGCCUUACACAUGCAAGUCGAACGGUAACGCGGGGCAACCUGGCGACGAGUGGCGAACGGGUGAGUAAUGCAUCGGAACGUGCCCAGUAGUGGGGGAUAGCCCGGCGAAAGCCGGAUUAAUACCGCAUACGACCUACGGGUGAAAGGGGGGGAUCACAAAACCUCUCGCUAUUGGAGCGGCCGAUGUCAGAUUAGGUAGUUGGUGGGGUAAAGGCCUACCAAGCCGACGAUCUGUAGCUGGUCUGAGAGGACGACCAGCCACACUGGGACUGAGACACGGCCCAGACUCCUACGGGAGGCAGCAGUGGGGAAUUUUUGACAAUGGGCGCAAGCCUGAUCCAGCCAUGCCGCGUGCGGGAAGAAGGCCUUCGGGUUGUAAACCGCUUUUGUCAGGGAAGAAAUCUUCUGAGUUAAUACCUCGGGAGGAUGACGGUACCUGAAGAAUAAGCACCGGCUAACUACGUGCCAGCAGCCGCCGUAAAAC
rnacentral:rRNA from 1 species